rnacentral:rRNA from 1 species
CCAUAUUGGGUGAUAGCCCCGUACACGAAAAUCUCUUAUCAAUGAAAUCGAGUAGGACGGAGCACGAGAAACUUUGUCUGAAUAUGGGGGGACCAUCCUCCAAGGCUAAAUACUACUGACUGACCGAUAGUGAACUAGUACCGUGAGGGAAAGGCGAAAAGAACCCCGGGAGGGGAGUGAAAUAGAUCCUGAAACCGUAUGCGUACAAGCAGUGGGAGCAGACUUUGUUCUGUGACUGCGUACCUUUUGUAUAAUGGGUCAGCGACUUAUUUUCAGUGGCGAGCUUAACCGAAUAGGGGAGGCGUAGCGAAAGCGAGUCUUAAUAGGGCGUCUAGUCGCUGGGAAUAGACCCGAAACCGGGCGAUCUAUCCAUGGGCAGGUUGAAGGUUAGGUAACACUGACUGGAGGACCGAACCGACUACCGUUGAAAAGUUAGCGGAUGACCUGUGGAUCGGAGUGAAAGGCUAAUCAAGCUCGGAGAUAGCUGGUUCUCCUCGAAAGCUAUUUAGGUAGCGCCUCAUGUAUCACUGUAGGGGGUAGAGCACUGUUUCGGCUAGGGGGUCAUCCCGACUUACCAAACCGAUGCAAACUCCGAAUACCUACAAGUGCCGAGCAUGGGAGACACACGGCGGGUGCUAACGUCCGUCGUGAAAAGGGAAACAACCCAGACCGUCAGCUAAGGUCCCAAAGUUAUGGUUAAGUGGGAAACGAUGUGGGAAGGCUUAGACAGCUAGGAGGUUGGCUUAGAAGCAGCCACCCUUUAAAGAAAGCGUAAUAGCUCAC